rnacentral:rRNA from 1 species
GAUGAACGCUGGCGGCGUGCCUAAUACAUGCAAGUCGAGCGAACAGACGAGGAGCUUGCUCCUCUGACGUUAUCGGCGGACGGGUGAGUAACACGUGGAUAACCUACCUAUAAGACUGGGAUAACCUCGGGAAACCGGAGCUAAUACCGGAUAAUAUAUUGAACCGCAUGGUUCAAUAGUGAAAGACGGUUUUGCUGUCACUUAUAGAUGGAUCCGCGCCGCAUUAGCUAGUUGGUAAGGUAACGGCUUACCAAGGCAACGAUGCGUAGCCGACCUGAGAGGGUGAUCGGACACCCUGGAACUGAGAAACGGUCCAGACUCCUACGGGAGGACGCAGUAGGGAAUCUUCCGCAAUGGGCGAAAGCUUGACGGAGCAAAGCCGCGUGAGUGAUGAAGGUCUUCGGAUCGUAGAACUCUGUUAUUAGGGAAGAACAAAUGUGUAAGUAACUAUGCACGUAUUGACGGUACCUAAUCAGAAAGCCACGGCUAACUACGUG